rnacentral:rRNA from 1 species
UACGUAGGGUGCGAGCGUUAAUCGGAAUUACUGGGCGUAAAGGGUGCGCAGGCGGUCCUGCAAGUCAGGCGCGAAAUCCCCGGGCUUAACCUGGGAAUGGCACUUGAAACUACGGGACUGGAGUAUGGCAGAGGGAGGUGGAAUUCCACGUGUAGCGGUGAAAUGCGUAGAGAUGUGGAGGAACACCGAUGGCGAAGGCAGCCUCCUGGGCCAAUACUGACGCUCAUGCACGAAAGCGUGGGGAGCAAACAGG